GGCCGGUCUUCUUUCAGAGAUCUAAAGAGGAUGGGCAGUGAGAUAGUUGUUCAAUUUAAUCUGUGAGUUUGUUCUAGAUAUAAUGGUGUUCAAAUUCAGUGGGCAGCGGUUCUGAAAUGCUGUGACAAAGAAGGCACAGUGGGGUUUUGUCAGUUUAAUUUUGUUGGUGAAUGCAGUGAUUUGAGGCUUGAUUUUCUUCAAUCCGG
rnacentral:misc_RNA from 1 species